rnacentral:misc_RNA from 1 species
GAUGAAGAACGUAGCGAAAUGCGAUAAGUAGUGUGAAUUGCAGGUGUAUACGUGAAUCAUCGAAUCUUUGAACGCAAAUUGCACUUUCUGGUAUUCCAGGAAGUAUGCCUGUUUGAGGGUCGCCUAAAUAAACUUCGAUUAUAUUGCUUUUUUUGUAAAUAUAUGUCGGAUUUGGGCUUUUCUUUAUUUUUUUUUAAAUAAAGUGGCUUAAAAUUUUUUUUUUUGGUAUCUUCGAAAAGCGUAUUUUACGAUCAAUGUCGAUCAAAAGAAACGUUGUCGAAUGCCAUCCUUUAUUAAUGUAAUACGUUUGACUUGUGUUAUCAUCUAGUUCAUUCGUAUACGAUUCUUGAUUUUUUGACCUCAAAUCAGGUAAGAGUACCCGCUGAACUUAAGCAUAUCAAUAAGCGGAGGA